rnacentral:tRNA from 1 species
UGAAGUAGGUCAGUGGCAGAGUACUUGCCUAGUAUGCACAAGGUCCUGGGUUCAACUCCCAGUACUAUAA